ACUGCGAAUGGCUCAUUAAAUCAGUUAUCGUUUAUUUGAUAGUACCUUACUACUUGGAUAACCGUGGUAAUUCUAGAGCUAAUACAUGCUGAAAACCCCAACUUCGGAAGGGGUGUAUUUAUUAGAUAAAAAACCAAUGCCUUUCGGGGCUCUUUGGUGAUUCAUGAUAACUUUUCAGAUCGCAUGGCCUUGCGCCGGCGACGGUUCAUUCAAAUUUCUGCCCUAUCAACUUUCGAUGGUAAGGUAUUGGCUUACCAUGGUUUCAACGGGUAACGGGGAAUUAGGGUUCGAUUCCGGAGAGGGAGCCUGAGAAACGGCUACCACAUCCAAGGAAGGCAGCAGGCGCGCAAAUUACCCAAUCCCGACACGGGGAGGUAGUGACAAUAAAUACUGAUACAGGGCUCUUUUGGGUCUUGUAAUUGGAAUGAGUACAAUUUAAACCUCUUAACGAGGAACAAUUGGAGGGCAAGUCUGGUGCCAGCAGCCGCGGUAAUUCCAGCUCCAAUAGCGUAUAUUAAAGUUGUUGCAGUUAAAAAGCUCGUAGUUGAACCUUGGGCCUGGCUGGCAGGUCCGCCUCACCGCGAGUACUUGUCCGGCCGGGCCUUUUUUCUGGAGAACCUCAUGCCCUUCACUGGGUGUGCUGGGGAACCAGGACUUUUACUUUGAAAAAAUUAGAGUGUUCAAAGCAGGCCUUUGCUCGAAUACGUUAGCAUGGAAUAAUAGAAUAGGACGUGCGGUCCUAUUUUGUUGGUUUCUAGGACCGCCGUAAUGAUUAAUAGGGACAGUCGGGGGCAUCAGUAUUCAAUUGUCAGAGGUGAAAUUCUUGGAUUUAUUGAAGACUAACUACUGCGAAAGCAUUUGCCAAGGAUGUUUUCAUUAAUCAGUGAACGAAAGUUAGGGGAUCGAAGACGAUCAGAUACCGUCGUAGUCUUAACCGUAAACUAUGCCGACUAGGGAUUGGGCGAUGUUUUCAUCUUGACUCGCUCAGC
rnacentral:rRNA from 1 species